CGUUUUUAAAGGUCUCCAGGCAACUCCAAUGUGCGGCCAAGUUUGAGACCCAGUGCCAGCUCCAGAACCAGUUUGAGAAGCUUCACUGCCUCCUCCUCAGGAGUCCUCUCCUGCCUUCUUGGGAGGAACCAAGUCAGUGUAACUGAAUGGAGUUCUGUCAUCCUUGACCCCACAGGUGCUGCCACCAGAGUUUAUUUUUGCCCCUUCUGUUUGGAUUCGUUGGUUUGCUGUGCGGGGACCAGCGCUGUCCUGAGACUAAAAUUUGCUCGGAGAAGGAACUCGCCACUCCACAGUCCUCGAGGCCCUGCGGGCAGCCAGUCUCCCCCAGGUCCAUGCGUGAGGACGGUCACACGUCAAACUCUGCCUGUGACAGAGGAUUACAGCCCCGACAUCAGCAUCUCCGGAAGCGUGGCCCACAUCCUGUGGCCAUCUGGAGCCUGCUGCCGGCCGUCUAUUUUUCACCGGAGAAGCUGCAGAAAGGGUUUAUCAAUCACCGAGCCGGUUCAAACACACAGCCCUCCUCCCGCCGGCUGGGGCUCACACCCCCUCUCGGAGCCCCCCAACGAGGCCCCACAUCAAAGCCGGAAACAGAGCAAACGCGCCCAGAGCCCAAAUGGAAGGGGCCGCGUUGGAGGAGGCUUGAUUAAGUGUCGCUUCUUCAUACUGCCCACGAAUUGGGCGGAGGUGACGACUCUCACACCCAAAGCCGAAUUCAGGCGGCCAGCGCAGGCGGAGAGGGGGCGCCCCUCCCUCCCCACCCCCGACCUCCAGUCUCCCCUCCAAGUCGCCUCUUUUAUAACUCACCUUGAAAAUGCGGCAAAGCGCCCAGAAGCGUCGCUUCCCCUCGGACGCCAGAGCAAGCCACACCUUUGUGCUGCUUCCUGGACCUCCACGACAAUGUGCAGCCGCCCGCCCUGCCACCCCUUCCUGAACAUUGCUCCGAACUGGACACAGGUGACAACGCCUUCAUCAUUGCACAAGUUCUCCGAGGACAUGAAGCCGGAGCAGCUCUGUUCUCUUUCUUGA
rnacentral:lncRNA from 1 species